rnacentral:rRNA from 1 species
CACGUACGGGGCGAGCGUUGUCCGGAUUUAUUGGGCGUAAAGAGCUCGUAGGCGGUUUCGUAAGUCGGGUGUGAAAACUUCAGGCUCAACCUGGAGACGCCACCCGAAACUGCGAUGACUAGAGUCCGGUAGGAGAGUGUGGAAUUCCUGGUGUAGCGGUGAAAUGCGCAGAUAUCAGGAGGAACACCAAUGGCGAAGGCAGCCCACUGGGACGGUAUUGACGCUGAGACGCGAAAGCGUGGGGAGCAAACAGG